rnacentral:rRNA from 1 species
UGGGGAAUCAUGGUCAAUGGGCGAAAGCCUGAACCUGCGACGCCGCGUGAGUGAUGAAGGUCGUAAGAUCGUAAAACUCUUUUCAGGGAUCUUAACGCACAGCUGUCAACAACAGCUGUGUCUGACUCUCCCUGGAAGAAGCCCCAGCCAACUACGUGCCAGCAGCUGCGGUAGUACGUAGGGGGCGAGCGUUAUUCGGAAUUACUGGGUGUAAAGGGUAUGUAGGCGGCCCUUCAAGUCGCGUGUCAAAGUCCAGUGCUCAACGCUGGGUGUGCACGGGAUAUUGACGGGCUUGAGGGCUGGAGAGGCGAGCGGAAUUCCCGGUGUAGUGGUAAAAUACGUAGAGAUCGGGAGGAACACCAGCGGCGCAGGCGGCUCACUAGACAGUUUCUGACGCUAAGAUACGAAAGCGUGGGGAGCAAACA